AGUUUUGCACAGUGGCAGUGUUGUGGCCAAUGGGGUUAAUCUGAGGCACGAUUGUUGCUAAUUGAAAACUACUCCCAAGGACAUCAGUAGUUGAAGAACUGUUCUCUCAACGUGCAUUAUAAUCUUACCAAGUCCACAAAUGUA